CUAACAAGGAUUCCCCUAGUAACGGCGAGUGAAGCGGGAUGAGCUCAAGCUUAAAAUCUCCGUGCAAGUUUUGCACGGCGAAUUGUAGUCUAUAGAGGCGUGGUCAGUGAGGGCGCUCGGGGCAAGUUCCUUGGAAGAGGACAGCAUGGAGGGUGAUACUCCCGUUCAUCCCUGAGUGGCUUUUGCGUACGACCCGUGUUCUUUGAGUCGCGUUGUUUGGGAAUGCAGCGCAAAGUAGGUGGUAAAUUCCAUCUAAAGCUAAAUAUUGGUGCGAGACCGAUAGCGAACAAGUACCGUGAGGGAAAGAUGAAAAGAACUUUGAAAAGAGAGUUAAAGAGUACCUGAAACUGCUGAAAGGGAACCGAAUCGUUUCCAGUGUCUAUAAUCCGUGGCAUAUUUCAUUGGCGAGUGUGUGCGUGCGUGUGCUGUGGCAGUGGCUUUUUUGGCUGCGCUCGGCGUGUGUGCUGUGUGUGCUUGUUGGUGCCCUGUGGUGCGGUGGGACGUCAAGGUCAGUUCGUAUGCUGCGGGAAAUGGCUGCCGAGGAGGUAGGGCUUACGCUCCGCGUUUGUCUGUUAUAUCUUGGUGGACGAGUAGUCGCGGUUGGGACUGAGGUGCCUACAACGUGCUUUUGAGUGUGUAUGGGUCUCCGUGUGCGCCGUGUGCGGAUAGCUUGCUAUGCGUGUGUGGUUGUGUGUGGAUUGAUGCGUACUGUAACUUGUCGCCGUUCGGGACGUUGACGAAAUGGAGCGAUCCGACCCGUCUUGAAACACGGACCAAGGAGUCUAACAUGUGUGCAAGUGUUAGGGUGUGGAAACCCCAGCGCGAAAUGAAAGUAAAGGGCAGCGCAAGCUGUCUGAGGUAGGAAACGUUGCGGGCUUCGGCCUGCGGCGUGGCACUAUCGACCGAUCAUGAGCCUUCGUGGUGAAAGAUUUGAGUUUGAGCACAUAUGUUGGUACCCGAAAGAUGGUGAACUAUGCCUGAGUAGGGUGAAGCCAGGGGAAACUCUGGUGGAAGCUCGUAGCGAUUCUGACGUGCAAAUCGAUCGUCAAACUUGGGUAUAGGGGCGAAAGACUAAUCGAACCAUCUAGUAGCUGGUUCCCUCCGAAAUUUCCCUCAGGAUAGCAGCAACUUAUUUACGAUAGUUUUAUGAGGUAAAGCGAAUGAUUAGAGGAUUCGGGGAAGAAACUUUCUCGACCUAUUCUCAAACUUUAAAUCUGUAAGACCUGCAGGUUUCUUAAUUGAACUUGUGGAUGUGAAUAUCAA
rnacentral:rRNA from 1 species